GAUUAAGAACGUAGCGAAAUGCGAUAAGUAAUGUGAAUUGCAGAAUUCAGUGAAUCAUCGAAUCUUUGAACGCACAUUGCGCCCGCUAGUAUUCUGGCGGGCAUGCCUGUCCGAGCGUCAUUUCAACCCUCAAGCCCCCGGGCUUGGUGUUGGGGAUCGGCGAGCCUCCGCGCCCGCCGUCCCCUAAAUCUAGUGGCGGUCUCGCUGUAGCUUCCUCUGCGUAGUAGCACACCUCGCACUGGGAAACAGCGCGGCCACGCCGUUAAACCCCCAACUUCUGAACGUUUGACCUCGGAUCAGGUAGGAAUACCCGCUGAACUUAAGCAUAUCAAUAAGCGGAGGA
rnacentral:misc_RNA from 1 species